rnacentral:rRNA from 2 species
CAGCCGCCGCGGUAAAACCAGCACCUCAAGUGGUCAGGAUGAUUAUUGGGCCUAAAGCAUCCGUAGCCGGCUCUGUAAGUUUUCGGUUAAAUCUGUAUGCUCAACAUACAGGCUGCCGGUAAUACUGCAGAGCUAGGGAGUGGGAGAGGUAGACGGUACUCGGUAGGAAGGGGUAAAAUCCUUUGAUCUAUUGAUGACCACCUGUGGCGAAGGCGGUCUACCAGAACACGUCCGACGGUGAGGGAUGAAAGCUGGGGGAGCAAACCGGAUUAGAUACCCGGGUAGUCCCAGCUGUAAACUAUGCAAACUCAGUGAUGCAUUGGCUUGUGGCCAGUGCAGUGCUGCAGGGAAGCCGUUAAGUUUGCCGCCUGGGAAGUACGUACGCAAGUAUGAAACUUAAAGGAAUUGGCGGGGGAGCAC